GUUUUACCCUGACAGCCUGAGGUGCUCUUCAGUAAACUGGACUACCUGACAGUAGGACCCGAGGCCCCGCUGCACUUUUUCGGAGCUGCCCUCAGAUUCAGACCUCAGCACCACCCAGUGACAGCAGACAGAUCAUCCAACAUGUUAACUGCAAAAUGAACUGAUGAAAACAGUACAAAGGUUAAAGUACCACAUGUGCUGUCAGUGAAAGCUGCAGCUUUAUUGAUAAAGUUAAAGACAAAAAAACAAAAGGAUUAAUCACUCCUGUAACUGUGUCACUAUAUAUCAGCAUUAACAGGACCUCAGAGUCCAUAUUAUAUCAACAGCUACAUUCACCCUGGGGAGAAACUAGUGAGGGAGACCAUCAGGACCAAGCUGGGUUUCCUGGGUCCAGAGGUUUGGAGAAACUUCUUCCCUUUCUUCAUCACAGCUGUCCUGUGCCAGAUGUUCUGUUGACCCACUGAGAGAGGCUUCAUUUAAGAAACACAAGGAAGACUGAAGCUCAUCGCAUUGAUCAAGCAGGACUCAUGAUCUUCAUCAGCAGCUCCCUCACAGGGAAAUCUUCAGCACUCCUCCGUAGGCCUGAUCCAGGAGAUGGAUACACCCAGCAUUUCAUGAACACUGUGAUGGAGACCUUUGGUUUGUGUAAUGUUAUAAAUACUUGGAUACUUCCCAGAGGCUCCAGACUUUGACAUAAAGAUAUUAUAUUCAGUCCUGUAGAAAGUUAUAUAUUUAAAAUUAUAUGAUCCUCUCUGGUUACUCUGGUAUGAAUAACUCUGAAUCACUUUAUGGUAAAUAACACACUAUCUGCAAAAAACUGUGAAAGAAUUCCAGAUGACAAGUUUGUAGUUCAACAUACAAGUGACGACCUUUGACCUUCAUCAGGUUUUAUUUAAUUGUGUUAGAGAAAAUCUCAUAUGCUCUUCAUGCAGCUGAGUACAUCAAGUGUUUAAAACGGAAGCUGUGCAGGUCUGAG
ensembl:lncRNA